CGAAAUUCAAGGACUGGGAGAGUAUCUGUUAACUGACGUCAAAGCGAGCCGGGGCGGUGAAAGCCGGUACUGCGUUAACAGGGAAACGGACCCACGAGAAUGGCUUCUGAACGCUUAUAGUAGGAGGCCACGGCUAAAAACCGUUAUUUUGCUAAAGUGGUUAAACAGAUGUUUAACAACAAGAGUGGUACCGCGAAUGCUUAAGCCUUCGUCUCUUUU
rnacentral:ncRNA from 1 species